CCUACGGGAGACAGCAGUGAGGAAUAUUGGUCAAUGGGCGGGAGCCUGAACCAGCCAAGUCGCGUGAAGGAAGAAGGUACUUAGUAUUGUAAACUUCUUUUGUCGGGGAACAAAGGCGGAGACGCGUCUCCGGAUGAGUCUACCCGAAGAAAACGCAUCGGCAAACUCCGCGCCAGCAGCCGCGGUAAUAGGGGGGCUGCGAGCGUUAUCCGGAUUUAUUGGGUUAAAAGGGAUCGCAGGCGGGAGAUAAAGUCAGCGGGAAACUGUCGGGGUUCAACCCAGGGCGGCAGUUGAAACUGGUUAUCUAGAGUUGAGGAGAAGUAAGCGGAAUUCGUGGUGUAGCGGGGAAAUGCAUAGAUAUUAGGAAGAACUCCGAUGGCGAAGGCAGCUUACCGGCUCCAAACUGACGCUGAGGCACGAAAGCGUGGGGAUCGAACAGGAUUAGAUACCCCUGUAGUC
rnacentral:rRNA from 1 species